rnacentral:rRNA from 1 species
AUGUCUUCAGAUGAGAAAGUGCAGAGGAAAUCUCAAAAGGCAGAGGAGAACCCGACCCGUCGUGAUGCUGAUCGGAGAUUGAUAUACUCCCUCCGUCCCGAAAAACAUGUCGCGGCGGCAUUUUUGCUAAAAAAUCCUCUCGUUUUUCCAGACCAAACCCGCGCUCCUUGUCCUCCUCCUCCGACAGAAGCAGCAGCUGCGCUGCUCUCCGCCGCCACUGCUUCGCUGCUCCCCGCCGUCGCAGCUCCCCUUCUCCCCCGCUCUCCCGCCGCCGCAGCUCCCCUGCUCCCCCGCCGCCGCAGCUCCCCUGCUCCCCCGCCGCAGCUGCCUCCUGCUCCGCCGCCGCAGCUACCGCUCGCCUGCCUCCCCAAGCUUCCCCUUUCUCAAAAAAAUCCUUGA